CUUCUCUCUUCUCUAUGCUCUUCUUCUAUGCUUCUGCCUCUUCUCUUGCUUAUUUCAUCUCACUUCUUCUCUUCCAAACCAACCACAAGAAACCUAGCGGCCACUAAACAAAACCCCUAUGGAAGACCCACGAAAGAAUAAACAAAGUUAUUCAAUUCCCUCCCCGGCCAAACCAACCACAAGGUCCACAAGAACCCAAACGGCUAACCCACCAAAGAAGUUGGGUUCUUCAAUUUCAGUCAUUUAACUAUCAACGCAUGAGUUAUAUAAAAAUACAAAAGCAAGUGAUAUAAAAGCAAAGUUAUUUACAAUUGAAGGACAUUGAGAUCUAGUGUGGGAGGGAUAGAGCUACUAGCAUUGGUGCAAAAUAUAUGGACGAUGUAGUUGAAGUUAUGACUGAGGAAGGAGAAAAGUGAUGAAUUCUCCUAUUGCAAAACAACAUGUCAACAUUUGUUAUCAAUAAGUUAUGCAAUUGAGCCUUGCCAUAGAAAAAAGAGUAGAAAAGAUCCACUUUGAAAUAGUUUUUUAGUUUGAGAUUUUGAAUGUUGUUAAAAAAA